AUUGGACAAUGGGGGCAACCCUGAUCCAGCAAUUGCCGCGUGUGUGAAGAAGGCCUGAGGGUUGUAAAGCACUUUCAGUGGGGAGGAGAAUUACUGGGUUAAGAGCUGAGUAAUUGGACGUUACCCACAGAAGAAGCACCGGGCUAACUCCGUGCCAGCAGCCGCGGUAAUACGGAGGGUGCGAGCGUUAAUCGGAAUGACUGGGCGUAAAGAGUGCGUAGGUGGUUUAUUAAGUUGUUGGUGAAAUCUCCGGGCUUAACCUGGGGUUGACGAAUAAAACUGAUGAACUCGAGUAUAGGAGAGGGUAGUGGAAUUUCCGGUGUAGCGGUGAAAUGCGUAGAGAUCGGAAGGAACACCAGUUGCGAAGGCGGCUACCUGGCCUGGUACUGACACUGAGGCACGAAAGCGUGGGGAGCAAACAGGAUUA
rnacentral:rRNA from 1 species